AAAUUCUCUGAGUGGUGACUUAGG
rnacentral:siRNA from 1 species